rnacentral:rRNA from 1 species
ACGUAGGCAGCAAGCGUUGUUCGGAGUUACUGGGCGUAAAGAGUGUGUAGGCGGUUUUCCAAGUCUGGUGUGAAAUCUCCCGGCUCAACUGGGAGGGUGCGCCGGGAACUGGGGGACUGGAGUGCGGGAGAGGAAAGCGGAAUUCCCGGUGUAGCGGUGAAAUGCGUAGAGAUCCGGAGGAACCCCGGUGGCGAAGGCGACUUGCUGGGCCUGAACUGACGCUCAGACGCGAAAGCAUGGGGAGCGAACGG